CCUACGGGAGGCUGCAGUGGGGAAUAUUGGACAAUGGGGGAAACCCUGAUCCAGCGACGCCGCGUGAGUGAAGAAGUAUUUCGGUACGUAAAGCUCUAUCAGCAGGAAAGAAAAUGACGGUACCUGACUAAGAAGCCCCGGCUAACUACGUGCCAGCAGCCGCGGUAAUAUGUAGGGGGCAAGCGUUAUCCGGAUUUACUGGGUGUAAGGGGAGCGUAGACGGCAGCGCAAGUCUGGAGUGAAAUGCCGGGGCCCAACCCCGGAACUGCUCUGGAGACUGUGAAGCUGGAGUGCAGGAGAGGUAAGCGGAAGUCCUGGUGUAGCGGGGAAAUGCGUAGAUAUCAGGAGGAAAACCGGCGGCGAAGGCGGCUUACUGGACUGUAACUGACGUUGAGGCUCGAAGGCGUGGGGAGCAAACAGGAUUAGAUACCCAAGUAGUC
rnacentral:rRNA from 1 species